GCAAACUUGGUCAUUUAGAGGAAGUAAAAGUCGUAACAAGGUUUCCGUAGGUGAACCUGCGGAAGGAUCAUUAUUGAAUACACUCGGUUAGAUUGUUGCUGGCUCUCUUUCUUAGGAGCAUGUGCACAUUUAAUCCACUUUUUAAUCCCCUGUGCACCUUGUAUAGACAUUGAACACCUUUCGAGAAAUAACUGCUCGGCCUGAGGAUUGCUGUUAUUUAAUUUAAUAAACACCAGCUUUUCUUGUGUUUUCAAUUCUAUGCCUCUCACACACACAUAACAAAACCAUUAGAAUGUAUUUGAAUGUUGUCAAUAGUGCCUAUAGAAAAAAAUGUACAACUUUCAACAACGGAUCUCUUGGCUCUCGCAUCGAUGAAGAACGCAGC
rnacentral:misc_RNA from 1 species